GAUGAACCAAUCUGUGCAAGAGGAAGGAGCAUAAUACCAGGUUUGCGGAGAAGGAUAAAUAAGAUGGAGGAAACAAUUGAAAAAGGCCGAAGAAGGGAAAAAAUUAUGAUUUGUAUUAUCUUGAUGUUGGCCAUGCUACUUAUGAUCUCUGUUGCUGGGAAAAAUAGGGGACAUGCAAGAGAAGGAAAAUUGGUACUAAGCUUGGAAUGAGUUACCGAAUCUGGGGGUGAUAACUGUGGUUCGUUCCUUUCAUGGGGCAGAACUUUGACUGAAUUUGUAAAUGUAGAAAUAGGAUGCUUUCAUGGGGCAUGCCUUUCCUAAAAUCUGCACUAUCAUAUGUUUCAUGGGGCAUGCUUUGUAAACAUAGAAAUAGCAUGCUUUCAUGGGGCAGAACUUUGACUGAAGUUGUAAUAAAAUCUGCAAUCCC
rnacentral:lncRNA from 1 species